GCCAACGACCAUACCACGUUGAAUACACCAGUUCUCGUCCGAUCACUGAAGUUAAUCAACGUCGGGCGUAGUUAGUACUUAGAUGGGUAACCGCUUGGGAACACUACGUGCCGUUGGCA